GACGAACGCUGGCGGCGUGCCUAAUACAUGCAAGUAGAACGCAGUUGCGAACGGGUGAGUAACGCGUAGGUAACUGCCUCAUAGCGGGGGGUAACUAUUGGAAACGAUAGCUUAAACCGGCUAAUGUGAGAUGGACCUGCGUUGCAUUAGCUAGUUGGAGGGGUAAAGGCUCACCAAGGCGACGAUACAUAGCCGACCUGAGAGGGUGAGCGGCCACACUGGGACUGAGACACGGCCCAGACUCCGACGGGAGGCAGCAGUGGGGAAUCUUCGGCAAUGGACGAAAGUCUGACGGAGCAACGCCGCGUGAGUGAAGAAGGUUUUCGGAUCGUAAAACUCUUUUGUUGGAGAAGCGUUAUCUACCCAGAAAGCCACGGCUAACUACGUGCCAGCAGCCGCGGUAAUUC
rnacentral:rRNA from 1 species